rnacentral:snRNA from 1 species
GUGCUCGCUUCGGCAGCACAUAUACUAAAAUUGGAACGAUACAAAGAAGAUUAGCAUGGCCCCUGCGCAAGGAUGACACGCAAAUUUGUGAAGCGUU